rnacentral:rRNA from 1 species
ACAGCCAUAAUUUACUGAAUGUAGAAAAUCCUACGUGGAUAACUGUGGCAAUUCUAGAGCUAAUACAUGCACCAAAGCUCCGAUUAAUGACGAGCGCACCUAUUAGACUGAAAAACCAAUCGAAUAUUCGAAGAAUAUUCGUAGUUUUUGGUGACUCUGGAUAGCUACAGCUGAUCGCACGGUCUAGAACCGGCGACAUGUUUAUCAAGUGUCUGCCUUAUCAACUUGAUGGUAGUCUAUUGGUCUACCAUGGUUGUCACGAGUAACGGAGAAUUAGGGUUCGUCUCCGGAGAGGGAGCCUGAGAAACGGCUACCACAUCCAAGGAAGGCAGCAGGCGCGCAAAUUACCCACUCUCAGCAUGAGGAGGUAGUGACGAAAAAUAACGAGACCGGUCUCAAUGAGGCCGGUUAUCGUAAUGGGUACAAUUUAAACCCGUUAACGAGGAUCUAUGAGAGGGCAAGUCUGGUGCCAGCAGCCGCGGUAAUUCCAGCUCUCAAAGUGUAUAUCGUUACUGCUGCGGUUAAAAAGCUCGUAGUUGGAUCUGCAUUCAAGCGCUUGGUCCACCAUUUUGGUGCUGAACUAAGUUAUUUGCUUGAACCAAAAUUAUGCUGGUUUUCCAUAGGUUACUUUUACCGGUCGCUUAUGGUGGCUAGCAAGUUUACUUUGAAAAAAUUAGAGUGCUUAAAGCAGGCAUUUAUCGCCUGAAUAAUGGUGCAUGGAAUAAUAAAAUAGGAUCUCGGUUCUAUUUUGUUGGUUUUUGUGAAUUGAGAUAAUGGUUAAGAGGGACAAACGGGGGCAUUCGUAUCGCUGCGCGAGAGGUGAAAUUCUUGGACCGUAGCGAGACGCCCUACUGCGAAAGCAUUGCCAAGAAUGUUUUCAUUAAUCAAGAACGAAAGUCAGAGGUUCGAA